UACGGAGGGGGCGAGCGUUAUUCGGAAUUAUUGGGCGUAAAGGGCGCGUAGGCGGCCCGGUAAGUCAAAGGUGAAAUCCCUCGGCUCAACUGAGGAACUGCCUUUGAAACUGUCGGGCUUGAGGCCGGGAGGGGGUAGCGGAAUUCCCAGUGUAGCGGUGAAAUGCGUAGAUAUUGGGAGGAACACCGGUGGCGAAGGCGGCUACCUGGACCGGCUCUGACGCUGAUGCGCGAAAGCGUGGGUAGCAAACAGG
rnacentral:rRNA from 1 species